GGGUGAUUAGCUCAGCUGGGAGAGCACCUCCCUUACAGGUAGAGCAGUUGACUUUUAAUCAAUUGGUCGCAGGUUCGAAUCCUGCACGACCCACCA
rnacentral:tRNA from 1 species